CCUACGGGUGGCAGCAGUGGGGAAUUUUUGGCAAUGGGCGCAAGCCUGAACCAGCAACGUAGCGUGAAGGAUGACUGCCCUACGAGUUGUAAGCUUCUUUUAUAAGGGAGUAAGAUGAGGCACGUGUGCCUUUUUGUAUGUACUUUGUGUAUAAGGGUCGGCUAACUCCGUGCCAGCAGCCGCGGUAAUACGGAGGAUCCGAGCGUUAUCCGGAUUUAUUGGGUUUAAAGGGAGCGUAGUUGGGUUGUUAAGUCAGGUGUGAAAGUGUGCGGCUCAACCGGAAAAUUGCAAGUGAUACUGGGAGACUUGAGUAGAGUUGAGGUAGGCGGAAUUCGUGGUGUAGCGGUGAAAUGCUUAGAUAUCACGAAGAACUCCGAUUGCGAAGGCAGUCUACUAAACUGCAACUGACAUUGAUGCUCGAAAGUGUGGGUAUCAAACAGGAUUAGAUACCCCAGUAGUC
rnacentral:rRNA from 1 species